AUUGAACGCUGGCGGCAUGCCUUACACAUGCAAGUCGAGCGGCAGCGCGGGGGCAACCCUGGCGGCGAGCGGCGAACGGGUGAGUAAUGCAUCGGAACGUGUCCUCUUGUGGGGGAUAAC
rnacentral:rRNA from 1 species